GGCGAGGGGAGUGAAAAAGAACCUGAAACCGUGUACGUACAAGCAGUGGGAGCCCCACCACCAAAGCAUUUGCUGUACCGUGUUGACGGAGCGAAGCGACGUCAAACCGAUAAAACAGCAGUGUAAAGUGAGCCGCAGGGCGCUUUGCGCGACAGCGCAAAGGCAGGCGGUUUCGCGUAGCGAAAGCGAAUGCUUUGGGGUGGGGUGACUGCGUACCUUUUGUAUAAUGGGUCAGCGACUUAUAUUCUGUAGCAAGGUUAACCGAAUAGGGGAGCCGGAGGGAAACCGAGUCUUAACCG
rnacentral:rRNA from 1 species